ACAAUUCUUGAAGUAUGUUGUAAGUGUGAAUCUAUGGUCUAUGGAUGUAUACCUAUAUGGUCAAUGUUGUUUUCUUGUUGUCUGUCUGUUUUAUAUGUUUUGCUUGUUCUUCCUUAAUGGAAGCUUCUACCUAGCCCAAGCUUCACCUAGGAAGGCAGGGGGAGGGACAGCGGCUUGGAUUCGAACCCUGGACCGUCGAGACGAAGCACACAUUUGUUUUGCAAUUUUCGUUUACAUCAUUGAAUUAUCUUUGCGAUUAAGGAGGACAUGUGCAUUUUUGUUCAUUGGUUAUACACUUAAAUCAAUACAAUAUUAAUUCUUGUUUCAGAUU